rnacentral:tRNA from 1 species
GCCUUCGUGGUGUAGCGGUCAGCGCGCUCGCCGCGCAUUCGAGAGGCCCGUGGUUCGAAUCCCGGCAAAGGCA